UAGGGAAUCUUCCACAAUGGACGAAAGUCUGAUGGAGCAACGCCGCGUGAGUGAUGAAGGGUUUCGGCUCGUAAAACUCUGUUGUUGGAGAAGAACGGGUGUCAGAGUAACUGUUGACAUCGUGACGGUAUCCAACCAGAAAGCCACGGCUAACUACGUGCCAGCAGCCGCGGUAAUACGUAGGUGGCAAGCGUUGUCCGGAUUUAUUGGGCGUAAAGCGAGCGCAGGCGGUUUUUUAGGUCUGAUGUGAAAGCCUUCGGCUUAACCGGAGAAGUGCAUCGGAAACCGGGAGACUUGAGUGCAGAAGAGGACAGUGGAACUCCAUGUGUAGCGGUGAAAUGCGUAGAUAUAUGGAAGAACACCAGUGGCGAAGGCGGCUGUCUGGUCUGCAACUGACGCUGAGGCUCGAAAGCAUGGGUAGCGAACAGGAUUAGAUACCCUGGUAGUCCAUGCCGUAAACGAUGAGUGCUAAGUGUUGGAGGGUUUCCGCCCUUCAGUGCUGCAGCUAACGCAUUAAGCACUCCGCCUGGGGAGUACGA
rnacentral:rRNA from 1 species